rnacentral:lncRNA from 1 species
AAUUCAUUCUAAAAAUGUGACUUGUGUACUUGGAUUUAACAUACAGGAGGUGUUGACUCUCAUACCAAGAAUUGGGGUAUAUACAGGAUUGUUAGUCUCAUCCUUGGUCUUUCCUUCAGGUGCAGUUUUGACACACUUCUGUCUAGCAGCUGAGUAUUGUGAUCUUCAGAACUGGCCCAGCCUACAAAUAGGAUUGUGCCACACUGCUGGACCCAGCACCUAGAUGAUGUAACUAUUCUCCUGCCUUGGUGCUACUCAAAAAAGACAUUAACAUAUCUCAGAGCCUUGCACCCAGGUAAUGUGAGUCUCCUCUCCUGCCUUGCUGCUGCACACAGAAGCGGGUUAUGUACAGGAUUGUUAAUCUCAUUUGGACCUUCCUGCACCUAUGAUUGUGACACAUGCCUCUGUGUAGAACCCAAGUGAGUUUUCUCUCCUGUUUGGAUUUAACCCACAGAUGGAAUCGUGACAUAUCGCUGCACCAGAAACUAGGUGAUGUGACUCCAUUUCCUUGCCUCUGUGCUUUCCACAUUAGGCAUUGGGACAUAUCACUGGGCCUUGCAUCCAGGUGAUGGGAG